CGUUACUAAACAUUUCAAUAGUCCUAGGCUAGGAUUUUAUGAACGAAAGGCGUAAUUACGGUUGCCCUGGUAGAGGGUCCAUGGGAAAGCUCAGAAGCUCCUGGGUUUCAACAAUUUAGCAUCAAAUUAUGAAGAAGCCAGACUAAUAAAUAUCUCUCUAUUGGUUUCUCUGAGCAGCACAUGAUACAAGACAAACAAACACUGAAGUAUAAAGUUCGUUCGUUUUAAAUAUUGUAGGCUUUAAUGUGGAAUACAUGAUUGAAUAUGGAAAAUUGACUUUAUUGUACAACAGUGCUAAAUUAAAGCAAUCAUGUCACUGUCUAGUUCCGAUAGGUGGUAUUUGGUACAUGAAUAAAUAUGGUGCUUGAACUUGAUGGCAAAAUGUAGGUCCGAUGAUGUGACUAAGUUACUAACUAAUGGAUAUUGAAACAAUAUGAUACUACCAAAGGCUAUCCAGAUUGGGAAGUAAAAAUGCUAUACCAAUUAUACAUGUUACUAGUAUAAAUGCAUAUUAACGCAAAACCUCAAAUGAACAAAUAUUACUGAUUUGUGG
rnacentral:lncRNA from 1 species